rnacentral:tRNA from 1 species
GGGGUUGUGGCUCAGCGGUAGAGCACUCACCUAGCGCGUGAGAGGCCCUGGGUUCAAUCCUCAGCACCACA